rnacentral:rRNA from 1 species
GACGAAACGCUGGCGGCGUGCUUAAAAACAUGCAAGUCGAACGGACUUCUCAUGAAGCUUGCGAUUGAGAAGUUAGUGGCGGACGGGUGAGUAACGCGUGGGCAACCUGCCCCUGAGCCCGGGAUAACAGUUCGAAAGGACUGCUAAGACCGGAUAUACUUGCGGGGAAGCAUUUCACUGCAAGGAAAGGGAACGCUCAGGGGAUGGGCCCGCGUCCCAUUAGCUAGUUGGUGAGGUAACGGCCCACCAAGGCGACGAUGGGUAGCCGGCCUGAGAGGGUGAACGGCCACACUGGGACUGAGACACGGCCCAGACUCCUACGGGAGGCAGCAGUUGGGAAUCUUCGGCAAUGGGCGCAAGCCUGACCGAGCAACGCCGCGUGAGUGAUGAAGGUUUUCGGAUUGUAAAGCUCUGUCUUCCGGGACGAUAAUGACGGUACCGGAGGAGGAAGCCACGGCUAACUACGUG